rnacentral:rRNA from 1 species
CUUUACUGCAACUUGACGUUGGAACUUGGCUGUAUUUGUGUAGGAUAGGUGGGAGACUUGAAGCAGGGCCGCCAGGUCUUGCGGAGUCGUCGUUGAAAUACCACCCUGGUGCUGACGAGUUUCUAACCGUGUCCGUAAGCCGGACAUGAGACAGCGUCUGGUGGGCAGUUUGACUGGGGCGGUCGCCUCCUAAAAGGUAACGGAGGCAUUCAAAGGUCCCCUCAGCGUGGUCGGUAAUCACGCGCAGAGUGCAAACGCAUAAGGGGGCUUAACUGCGAGACCGACAGGUCGAGCAGGUACGAAAGUAGGAGUUAGUGAUCCCGCGGUUUAGCGUGGAAUUGCCGUUGCUCAAUGGAUAAAAGGUA